rnacentral:rRNA from 1 species
GACGAACGCUGGCGGCGUGCUUAACACAUGCAAGUCGAGCGGAGCGGCGAACGGGUGAGUAACGCGUGAGUAACUGCCCCCCUCUCUGGGAUAACAGUUGGAAACGGCUGCUAAUACCGGAUAGUGGGGGAUGACUCGCGUCCUCUCAGCUUGUUGGUGGGGUAGUGGCCUACCAAUGCGACGGCGGGUAGCCGGCCUGAGAGUGCGACCGGCCACAUUGGGCUGAGAUACGGGCCAAAGUCCUACGGGAGGAAGCAGGGGGGAAUAGUGCACAAUGGGGGAAACCCUGAGGCAGCAACGCCGCGUGCGGGAUGACGGCUUUCGGGUUGUAAACCGCUUUCAGCGAUGACGCGGUAGUGGCAGAAGAAGCACCGGCUAACUACGUGCCAGCCGCCGCGGUAAUAC